rnacentral:rRNA from 1 species
GUGGGGAAUCUUCCGCAAUGGACGAAAGUCUGACGGAGCAACGCCGCGUGAACGAUGACGGCCUUCGGGUUGUAAAGUUCUGUUAUACGGGACGAAUGGUACGACGGUCAAUACCCGUCGUAAGUGACGGUACCGUAAGAGAAAGCCACGGCUAACUACGUGCCAGCAGCCGCGGUAAUACGUAGGUGGCAAGCGUUGUCCGGAAUUAUUGGGCGUAAAGGGCGCGCAGGCGGCGUCGUAAGUCGGUCUUAAAAGUGCGGGGCUUAACCCUGUGAGGGGACCGAAACUGCGAUGCUAGAGUAUCGGAGAGGAAAGCGGAAUUCCUAGUGUAGCGGUGAAAUGCGUAGAUAUUAGGAGGAACACCAGUGGCGAAAGCGGCUUUCUGGACGACAACUGACGCUGAGGCGCGAAAGCCAGGGGAGCAAACGGG